CCUACGGGGGGCAGCAGUGAGGAAUAUUGGUCAAUGGACGAGAGUCUGAACCAGCCAAGUAGCGUGAAGGAUGACUGCCCUAUGGGUUGUAAACUUCUUUUAUAUGGGAAUAAAAUGUUCCACGUGUGGGAUUUUGUAUGUACCAUAUGAAUAAGGAUCGGCUAACUCCGUGCCAGCAGCCGCGGUAAUACGGAGGAUCCGAGCGUUAUCCGGAUUUAUUGGGUUUAAAGGGAGCGUAGGUGGAUUGUUAAGUCAGUUGUGAAAGUUUGCGGCUCAACCGUAAAAUUGCAGUGGAAACUGGCAGUCUUGAGUACAGUAGAGGUGGGCGGAAUUCGUGGUGUAGCGGUGAAAUGCUUAGAUAUCACGAAGAACUCCGAUUGCGAAGGCAGUUCACUGGACUGCAACUGACACUGAGGCUCGAAAGUGUGGGUAUCAAACAGGAUUAGAUACCCCUGUAGUC
rnacentral:rRNA from 1 species